GGCCAAGUCUGCACCGUUCCGCGCAGCAGUUGGUCGUGCCGCCGCGAAGGCGCCGUCCGUCCGUCACCGGCCGUGCACAGCUCGAGUGACAGCGGCCACAGCCGCGGCCACGACGCGGGACACAGUCCGCGGGGAGGCUCCGAGGCACAGGACGGGCUUCGCCGAGGACUCUCCAGGCGGAGAUCCCAGGAUUGGAAUUUACGACCUUAGAUGACGGCGAUGAAAACGCACCUUUCGUCAAAUACGAGGGAGCCCCCGCGAACUGGCAUGCAACCUGGCUCUAAAGAAGAAAGGUUUUUCAAGGCAAGUGACCUUCUUGGUUGAACUGUGAUUGAGCUUAUAAAUGAAGAAGGUUGUAGCAAUUGAUAAGAAUCAAGAGUAAGUAACAAGUAAAAACAAGUGUAAGAAAGAAGAAUAAUUAUAUGUUGUAACUGAGGGGUUUAGCCAGUUAACUUGGCCAAACCAAACAAUUCAAUGAAAAAUUCUGUUAGGUAUCUGAAUUAUCUGGGUAGUGUAUUAUCAUCAGGUUAAGUGGUUUCCCUUAUUUGUAUUGAUGCGCAUCUUGACUGUAUUUUUGUAAAGGAUUCUCAAGCAGCCAUCAGGGAGUGGCAAGGAAUUCUUGCCAGGUUUAGGCAAUUAAAAAUGAAACAGACUUGGAGGAACCUUAAAAAAAUGAAACAAAUAAAAACAAGUUGAUAUUCAAUUAGACGGAGAGGCAGCUUAGUCAAAUAAUAAAACUAGAAAGAAUCUUACCAGGCCUUCUUUUUGAAUCCUCUACCUAAGCUACUAUAUACUCUCUUCAUCCAAAAAGAUGAUUGUAUUUACUAUAUUUUAAAACAUUUCUUUUUUUUAAUAUUUUACUUAUUUAUUCAGAGAGAGAGAGAGGGAGGCAGAGACACAGGCAGAGGGAGAAGCAGGCUCCAUGCAGGGAUCCCGAUGUAGGACUUGAUCCACCUGAUGUGGGACUUGAUCCCAGGUCUCCAGGAUCACACCCCAGGCUGCAGGCGGCGCUAAACCGCUGUGCCACCAGAGCUGCCCUUUUUAAAACAUUUCUAAAGCUAAAGAAUUCAGUCUCCUUUGGUAACCACUUCAAUCAGACUACAUUUUGUACAGUUGACCAAGCUCAGUUCCUUUUAUACAGGAAAUGAGGCUAUCUCAGAAAAUGCCUGGGGGGCUACUGUGGAUAGGAUAGAAAAAAUUUGGACAGCUGGUUAAUUUUAUGAAAGGAAAGGCAGGAUUAAACAACACCCACUAAAGAAUCCUUUGAGAUGUUUCACACAUAUAAUUCAUUGAGAUGUUUCCAUAUAAUUUACAACAAAAGGACAUAUAAUCUUGUAAAUAGAUUUGUUAAUUAUUAGCCUCCUAAAAUUAUAUUUGAUCUUCUUAUAAUUAGGUUUUUACAUGACACUCCUUGAAGUUCUGGUCUGUGGUCUAUAAUAGGAAAGAACCCAACAACUUGAAUGAUGCUGGAGCUUUACUUUUCAAAAUUAUCUCCAUAGGUCAGUGGUUAUCAAACUCACCCACAUGCAAAAGUUAUCUCCGGGAAGUUGUUAGGGUACAGAUUACUGAGCUCAGCUGGAAGAUUCUAAUGCAGCUGGUCAGAGGUGGCGCUGGGAAUCUGCCCAGAUAAGCCCAAAGAUAAUCUUCAAACCACAUGUUAAAAGUCUCUAUCCAAAAUGGAAAAUAAGCAGGGACACCUGGCUGGCUCCAUCAGUAGAGCAUGUAACUCUUAAUCUCAGGAUUUUGAGUUCAAGCCCCAUAUUGGGUGUAGCGAUUACUUAAAAAUAAAAUCCUGGGGUGCCUGGGUGGCUCACUCAGCUAAGUGUCCAACUCUAUUUUUUUUUUUUAAGUGUCCAACUCUUGAUUUCCGCUCAGGUCAUGAUCUCAGGGCCGUGAGGUGAAGCCCCCUAUGGGGCUUGGUGCUAGGCAUUGAGCCUGCUUAUGAUUCUCUCUUCCUCUCCCUCUGGCCCCUCCUUCCUCUAAAAAAACAAUAAAGUAAAUAAAUAAAAUUGUCUUAAAAA